rnacentral:misc_RNA from 1 species
CAAAAGUGAUGUUUUACGGGUUUCGAAUUCUUCUAACCUUGAGCUAACGACAAACAAAAUAGUUUAAUAUUUAAAAAAUAAGUUGGAGAGAGAGGGAAACAGAUUUGGGUCCAAAUCUGGGCGUUGUUCGGCUUGACCGGUUUUUGGACCCACCUGUUUUGGGUUUUUGACCAUUUCUUUUGUACCUGUCCUAGACUAAGUAAAUAAUUAAUACUAAAUAAAUACAGUAAAGUAAAAGACGACAAGGGCUUAUGCCCGAAAAUAAAUACAGCACGAAAUGAAAAAAAAAAUAAAACAGGUCUUCUAAUCUAUCUUCUCUGACUUUCUCCAAUUCUUUAAAUUUUGGGACCCGUCCAUCCGCUUAAUGGGUUGACUCGAAAAGAGAAACUUUGAGCCUUUACGGCUCUCACAUGGAAUGCAAAGGAGAGAGUGAGAGUUCACAUUGAGCUCGGACAAAUUUUACAUGCAACGAAGAGCAAAAUAAAAAUGAAUACUUGAAAAUAAUAUCUCUAAAUCAUAUCUUAAAGAUGAUUAAACGAUUCCUAAAUAACGAAUGUGUCUAAGCAAAUUACAACUUAACACCUUAAGCCAAAAUAAGUAAAUAAAUAAAUAGAUUGGAUAGGAGAAGGUAAUCGAUGCCAUUAAUUUUGUCCAAAGACGCACACAAUAGAUAAGCAGUAAUAUCCAAAAUAUGUAAUGAUCUUGGAAAUAAAUAUAAAAAUGAUGCAUGAGUAAAUUUAAAUAUUUAGACAAUUCAAGCUGGCAGAAAACUUUACAUACAAUAAACACAUAUAUGACAUAUAAAUCAUGGGAAAAUAUCCAAGUACCCUCUCAACCUAUGCCCGAAAUCUCAG